CUACAACUAGUAAAGGCACAUUGUUUGGAUUUUUCACCGGGAAACAAGACAAUACUGUCGGGAUGCAACGAUAAACGUUUGGCUGUCCCGAUGGAGGUCCAACAUGCAAUAAUCCGCUCGGGUCCGAGUCCCGGCCCGAGUCCUGGGACUUUGUAGGGGGAGGCGGCUUUCAUCUCAAUGUGCUGCCGUUGGCGUACGACAAGGGAAAGCCUUCCAAGCGUGACAAAAGCCAAACCUCAAAGAGCGCGUGGUCACAUGACCGCUAGGAGUCUGUAAAUGUCCCGUGCGCGACACGGACCACCAGGGAGCUGUCACGGUUUGGACCGCAGCUUCGUUCUCCCGAAAUGCAGACGGACGACUCUGGACGAAAGCGUGAGACAAUCGGACAAUGUAUUGGAAAGCUCCAUUCCCAACUUCCUGGAUGUGAAUUGCUACCGGCAAUCAAGCCAGCUGAUUGUGAAAGAAUACAAGAUGGCUACCAGAGAGUCUGUUGCACAGAGG